UCAUGCUUCUGCAUGAACCAGUGGUUCAACUACUGGUGACAGUCCCACUCCCCAAGGAGCGACAGGACAUCAGAAUUGACUACCAUUUCCCAAGCAUCCUGGCUCUGAAUAGAAAGCUGUUGAAAUUAGAAGAAUGGUUGAAGUUCAGAGAGAUCGAGGAGCUGGUGGGAAGAUAAUCACAGCCACGAAAUCUAAGCGUGUAGAGGACUCCACGCAGAAGGAAUUCCACGCCCCACUCCCUCGCUGAUCCCAGAGCUGCUCCUCUACCAGUAUCCAUCUAACCACAGCUCACAGUAUGAGUCAGAAAGUAACUGUCAACUAAACAGCAUUCCCUCUCAGAGUCACACGUAGUUAGAGCCACGGAGCACGUCAGCCACACGGGUAAGAUGCAUCUGCUAAGAAGCCAGAGCCGUGCAAGAGAAAACGUCCCACGAGCCUCCACACAUGGUAUUAUAAUUUCUCCUCAGUCUUGCUCGUCGCUGAUCUUAUAUGAUUUCAAUAUGUGCUUAAUAAAGAAAUGCAUUAAUGUCCA